rnacentral:rRNA from 1 species
UACGGGGGGGGCAAGCGUUGUUCGGAAUUACUGGGCGUAAAGGGCGCGUAGGCGGCCUUCUAAGUCGGACGUGAAAUCCCUCGGCUCAACCGAGGAACUGCGUCUGAUACUGGAAGGCUUGAAUCCGGGAGAGGGAUGUGGAAUUCCAGGUGUAGCGGUGAAAUGCGUAGAUAUCGGGAGGAACACCAGUGGCGAAGGCGGCUUCCUGGCCUGUUCUUGACGCUGAGGCGCGAAAGCUAGGGGAGCAAACGGG